rnacentral:rRNA from 1 species
CGGCGGACGGGUGAGUAACACGUGGAUAACCUACCUAUAAGACUGGGAUAACUUCGGGAAACCGGAGCUAAUACCGGAUAAUAUUUUGAACCGCAUGGUUCAAAAGUAGAAGACGGUCUUGCUGUCACUUAUAGAUGGAUCCGCGCUGCAUUAGCUAGUUGGUAAGGUAACGGCUUACCAAGGCAACGAUGCAUAGCCGACCUGAGAGGGUGAUCGGCCACACUGGAACUGAGACACGGUCCAG